UACGGAGGGUGCAAGCGUUUAUCCGGAUUCACUGGGUUUAAAGGGUGCGUAGGCGGGUUGGUAAGUCCGUGGUGAAAUCCCCAAGCUUAACUUGGGAACUGCCGUGGAUACUAUCAAUCUUGAAUAUCGUGGAGGUAAGCGGAAUAUGUCAUGUAGCGGUGAAAUGCUUAGAUAUGACAUAGAACACCAAUUGCGUAGGCAGCUUACUACACGAUCAUUGACGCUGAGGCACGAAAGCGUGGGGAGCAAACAGG
rnacentral:rRNA from 1 species